UGUAUGUCCAGAAAUUUCACAAAAAAGACAAAAACCUGCUAAUGGUUAUCAAAAUAGAUGGCAAAAUAAAAUAAUCUGCUGCUUGAUGAUUACAUUUAUUACUGGAAAUAAACGACGAAGAAGUGGAUCAGAUGGAUGUACCAUGUCUAAAAAGUGUGACGCCUAUGUGGUCCUUAAUCAAGACAAAACUGCUAUAGUCGAACCUAAACAUACUCAUCUAAAGAAAACUGUCAUUAAGACUACUUCUAUUGAAUGUUUGCUGAUGACGCUGGACUUUGAAUAUUUGUAUGAAAAACUACAAUUCCACUAAUACGGUGUUCCAGUAUUAAAAAGAUCUUAGAUGCCAACAAAGGCGUUUUAUCGGAAGAAAAUCCUCAGAUUUUAAUCUGGAAGGUGUGCUCAGUUAAUUUAAAGCAAAAAUAAAUGAUUUUAUAAUAUUUUGUUGUAAACAUUUAAGGUCUUCUAAUUACUUUGUCAUCUUUAAUUAACAUAUAAAAUUUAUUAAAAAUAAGCCUGUGCUGUAAGCAACUAGCAAAGUCCUGAUAAUAGUAUACUUGUUAUGGUAACUUUGUUGCAGAAAAACUUGAGCUUAUUCGGAUGGUUAACGGAAAAGUAGUGGUUCUAUACGAUGGGUAUACAUUCUACAAGAAACACGUUUCCCGGAGAGCUGAGCAGUGGUACUGCACUUCGUCAGGGAACUGCAGAAGUCGGGUCACGGCCGACAAACAAGGCAACAUCAUAUCGGUUUAUAUGGAUCAUAGUCAUGAGAAGCAGGUCCUUGUUUUAUCCAGUACAGGUGCCUAUGCUAAGAUGAGAUCUUCAAUAUAAGGAUACAUUAUUCCUUUCGAAUACAUUGGGAGAGGGAAGAGAAGAAUGAAGAAGCAAGAAGUGGAUAUAAUUAAAUCAUUAAGGGGACAAGAAAUUCUGAUAAGAUAUGGCUUUAGAUACAAUAAGCAUCGCUUGAAUAAGAGUGGUGUUACAGUGUGGCGGUGUGUUAACCGGAGUAUGUGUAAGGCAUUUCUAAGUUUGAGUGUUGACUUCAGUGUUAUUAAAGAAGCUUCUCAUACCUGUCAUUGGUGAAGCGAAGGAUUUUAAAACAUUAUAGCAAAGAAGAUUUUUUCUUUUCGGUGAAUGAAUAUAACCAUUAUUAUCAUCGGUAUUUUUAUAUGAGCAGCUCUGCCAAACGAAUAAAUAUUCGAGUACUGA